CCGCACUAGUCGGGGAGUCAGCGGUGCCCUGUACCUGCAACCCGCUAUAGCAGGGAUGAGUUCCCGCCCUCGGUUUUGCUUUGUGUCGCCGGCCGGUGCAAGUGGUGAUGAGGAACCGGUCUUGCGCAACGGAAACCCGUGAACCAUGUCAGGCGGGAGACCGAGCAGCAUUAAGCGGUGCUUUUCGUGUGCCGCGAGGUAGCCGAUUCUGAGCCGGCUGUAUCGGUAUCGGACAUAAAGCAAUUAUCAAAGGCGGGUGUGCGG
rnacentral:SRP_RNA from 1 species